rnacentral:rRNA from 1 species
CACGUAGGGUGCGAGCGUUGUCCGGAAUUAUUGGGCGUAAAGAGCUCGUAGGCGGUGUGUCGCGUCGGCCGUGAAAACCUGCAGCUUAACUGUGGGCGUGCGGUCGAUACGGGCAUCACUGGAGUUCGGCAGGGGAGACUGGAAUUCCUGGUGUAGCGGUGAAAUGUGUAGAGAUCGGGAGGAACACCGGGUGGCGAAGGCGGGGUCUCUGGGGCAAUUCCUGACGCUGAGGCGCGAAAGCGUGGGGGAGCAAACGGG